UACGAAGGGGGCUAGCGUUGUUCGGAAUUACUGGGCGUAAAGGGCGCGCAGGCGGCUCUUCAAGUCAGAUGUGAAAGCCCCGGGCUCAACCUGGGAACUGCAUUCGAAACUGGCAGGCUGGAGUCUUGUAGAGGGGGGUAGAAUUCCAGGUGUAGCGGUGAAAUGCGUAGAGAUCUGGAGGGAUACCGGUGGCGAAGGCGGCCCCCUGGACAAAGACUGACGCUCAGGUGCGAAAGCGUGGGGAGCAAACAGG
rnacentral:rRNA from 1 species